rnacentral:misc_RNA from 1 species
UCCGAGUUGACCCCGGCAGUCUCUCACGAGUCCCCACCAUGACGUGCUGGCAACAUGAGACAAGGGUUGCGCUCGUUGCGGGACUUAACCCAACAUCUCACGACACGAGCUGACGACAGCCAUGCAGCACCUGUGUUCCAGGCUCCGAAGAGAAGGUCACAUCUCUGCGACCGGUCCUGGACAUGUCAAGGCCAGGUAAGGUUCUUCGCGUUGCAUCGAAUUAAGCCACAUACUCCACCGCUUGUGCAGGCCCCCGUCAAUUUCUUUGAGUUUUAAUCUUGCGAUCGUACUUCCCAGGUGGGAUACUUAAUGCUUUCGCUCAGACACACACAGUUUAUCGCGUAUGUCGAGUAUCCAUCGUUUAGGGCGUGGACUAC